UACGGAGGGUGCGAGCGUUAAUCGGAAUUACUGGGCGUAAAGGGCGCGUAGGCGGCUGAUCAAGUCAGAUGUGUAAUCCCCGAGCUCAACUUGGGUAACGUGCAUCUGAGACUGGAAGGCUAGAGUACUGGAGAGGGUGGUGGAAUUCCUCGUGUAGCGGUGAAAUGCGUAGAGAUGAGGAGGAACACCAGUGGCGAAGGCGGCCACCUGGACAGUAACUGACGCUGAGGCGCGAAAGCGUGGGGAGC
rnacentral:rRNA from 1 species